rnacentral:rRNA from 1 species
GUGCCAGCAGCCGCGGUAAUACGUAGGGGGCGAGCGUUGUCCGGAUUCAUUGGGCGUAAAGCGCGUGUAGGCGGCCAGGUAGGUCCGCUGUGAAAACUCGAGGCUCAACCUCGAGCUGUCGGCGGAAACCCUUUGGCUAGAGUCCGGAAGAGGAGAGUGGAAUUCCUGGUGUAGCGGUGAAAUGCGCAGAUAUCAGGAAGAACACCCGUGGCGAAGGCGGCUCUCUGGGACGGUACUGACGCUGAGACGCGAAAGCGUGGGGAGCGAACAGGAUUAGAAACCCGCGUAGUCC